rnacentral:tRNA from 1 species
GCCGGAGUGGUGGAAUUGGUAGACACGCCAUCUUGAGGGGGUGGUGAGGAAACUCGUGCUGGUUCGAGUCCAGUCUCCGGCACCA